rnacentral:lncRNA from 1 species
GAUUGAGGGGGUGGCAGUGAGACGGGAAGAGGGGCUGUUUAUCUGUCAUCGGAGCUCUUAUGAGACGAACAAGAAGGGAAGAUUUGAGACGGAUUGGCAGAGGACUCAAAAGCAGCAGAAUUAAUGGAAUUAAAACCCUGUGGUGAUUGUGUUACAUCAGUGUGAAGAGGGCAGUCUGUUCAAUGCCUGCAUCUAACCUAUAAGACGAGGGCCUCCCCUUGUGUUGGGAGGGCAACACUACAAAUCCAAGGAGUGUUUGCAAUGUACGCAGUAGUCCCAGCAAGAAGACACAAGGUUAGAUACUUAAGUUAUUAAUUCAUAACUCAGACAAUCUGGCAUAAAGGCCUUGCAAUGUAUAUUAGUUUUUCAAUAUAAAUGAGGAAAAACUUCUCUUGAACUGAUUUGAAAUCACACUAUUGUAGCCCAUAUCCUCACAUUGCAUUUUACAUUUGGUCUUGUUGAACCUUGGACUACGUCACUUCCUGUUUUAACUUCCUGUUUUAACUUUCCUCAUUCCGGUGCUCCAGAGAUCGCAGAGACUUCAUUCUCUCCCUUUCGUCGACAAAAUGAACCUUAAAACCUGUCUGUUUGGCAUCGUGAAUGUGUUAUUCUUUAUCGGAACAACAUCAGCAUGCCUUCAGAAAAACAUUUCCUGCAACGACAUUAAAUCUGCUGACGGAUACAGGUUCCCUUAUCCGUGUACUGGGGCAUCAGGAAUUUACGUACAACGUAAUGAGAUUCAGAUUGCUAGAGCUAUGCUUAAGACUCAAACUUUUAACUAUCCGGAAGGUGGUCAAGUGGUGAGCAUGGACAACGAUUCAGUCGUUACAAAGGACUGCGGUGACGUGGAAAUAAGAUGCAUAUUUCUUAGCGUGAGUCUCCCUCUAUCAGUCUCUCUGUACAUUUAAAUUAAAUCAAUAAAAGUCAUAAACUAAAUGUGAAGUAUGUACUCCACACUCUCACAGUAUAAACUUUGAUUUUGCUUUUCAGGAAAAUAAUAUUAAGGAAACCUGUAAGGACUUUAAAACCAGGUAAGGCAGCAAUAUGUUGUAAAUAGCUGUUAUACUAUUCAACCUUAUCUUACAUCACUGAUUAUAAAUAUACAC